GCCUGUAAUAGGGAGGUAAAAAUUAUGAGAGCGAGUCAAAAACAUUAAUCGACGCAUUUGACUUACCUCUCGUACCUGUACCCACUGCGCAAACCCGGCGCGACAGUGGUAUAGCUUAUUUUUUUACUACCCCAGUGAGCAAGCCUUCACUGAUAUUUCGAGAUCACGCCGCAGUCUGUGACAGUUCGGAGUAAGUCUGCUACGACUGGUCCUCAGUUCGACUGGAUCUUUCGAUACGUCGGGCUGUGGUGCGAAAUACAAUGAAAAUCAUUAACCACACAUAAGUCGCUUUGUCAUUAACUAUGUGCAUGAUAUUACGCGUAUCAAAACAGUAAUCAUCAGGUACUUACUUUGUGAGCGCUGCACAUGAUUGCAGUUGAUCGCAGCACUGUUUAUUCGCACAGCCCUGCAGAAUUCACAAGUUGCGAAUGCCGGCUCUCGAAUGUGAUCCUGCCGCGAAGAAUUUGAUACCUAUAUCGAUCGAGAUCUUACGCGCGCUUUGCCGAGCCGCGAGCGACACACGUCGCGCCCUCUGCCGCCUGUUUAGGGUACUAAUGUUUUUAUUGUUAGUGCAAAAAAUGGAUAUUCCUUCUUCUUCCUCUUGACAAUCGAAUCAGUAUAAUAAAUGCAUUUUCUGUCAUUGCGCGCGUUAUAGACACACCCGUUUCUCACGCACGCACGAUUUCGAGUGGGCACGAUCUCGCGCUUUUGCGAAUUCAUAUAGGUAUGUGCAUCAUCAUGCAAGCACUGCAGGCUGAGUCGUCUAGAAAAAUCUAGAACAUUCUGGAAAAAGCUCGGGUAAUCUUGUGGCGAUUGCAAUAGUUUGAAAAGAGUAUCUUCAUAAUUUGAAAUUUCGAAUUUGCUAUACCCUAUAUACUGAAAAGUCAUUGAAUCAUUGGAUGUUAAGUAGGUUUUCAUUCAUGUUAAUAAAUAUCAUGAGAGGAGCCAUGAUAUAGAAAACAUUCAGAGCUGAGGCGUUGUAAAGACGACUGCUUGACACUGACAUUCGAUCAAUUCCAGCCAAGUAUUUCAUAACCUCCUUCUUACAUCUCUGAAAGCUAUCUUCUGUCACAGAGUGAGUCUGGCAGCACUGCUUUAUUAAUCCAUUGAUAUUUUUAUCAGCGCACUUGAAUCAGAGGCGACGUCCCAACGACCUAACGGCCAAGAGCGAUCAGCGUUCCUCUGAUAAGACACAGCAACUCCAAAAGAGAAGAGAGAAGAGAGAGAGAGAGAGAGAGAGAGAGAGAGAGAGAGAGAGAGAGAGAGAGAGAGAAAUUGUCAAUACUAGUCCAAAAAUAGUGCAAGUCAGAAACUGAAUAUCCUGAAUUGUAUCAAAAAUAUCGAGAAGCGAAACAUAAAAUAUGGAAGAAUCAUUGGCUGAGAGAUUGCAGGACCUCAAAUUGGAUGAAGUCAGGACUGAAGGAAAUAUUAGAUCUACAUUAACCAACGACAAAAAUGGAUCAGAAGAAAGUAAUGAUGCCUUAAUUAGAAGUCAUGCUUGUUUUCCUAGAUCUGAAUAUAAAACUAGAUUUUAAGGCAGUAGUGAAUUUGUUAUGUCCAAUUCGUUGUAUUGGGGGACGUAUUUCCGAUCAACAUGUCGAGGUGGUAACUGUGAUAGAAUCGCGAGAACGCAGCGUAACAAAGUAUAUGAUAAUUUUAAUAUAAAUAAACCGCGUUGUAGCGAUAAAAACGUUACAUCGCCAUCUAAAACUGGUUGUAUAAUGAGUCCAUGGGCAUUUACCGAAUAUAAUCAAAUAUUCGAUAGUGAGAUAAAGUGCAAAAACAUUUAUAAAAAUAAUAUUUCUUCUUUAUUGUAUGAUGAUUUGCUGAGGUAUAAAAUAUACAUUUGUCGCACUGUUAUCGAUCAAUUUUUAGCUCGCAAAAGAAAUCAAAGUAAAAUAAAUGUAUAUUUUCUAAAUGAGUUUCCAUGCAUUAUGGUGCAAAUACCAGAAUUUGCCAAGCACAGUCUAAAAAAAAGAACAAAGCAGUCUCUAUAAGAUAGCGAUAGCAUAUUUCACUGCUAUUACUAACCGUGUUGCUUUAAAAAAAGAUAUCCCAAUUGAAUUGGUGAUUAGAUCUAGUUUUGGUCAUAAUAUCCCAAGUGUGUCAGAAACGAAAACAAGUUUUAGAAACAAUGUUGGGGUUGUGCCAGAAUGUUAUGCUAAGGUAUUAGCCCGAAGUCUUUAUUUAUUUGACACUAAGUUCUUAGAACCAUUGUUAAAUAAAACUUUAAAGCUACGUUUUCGACAGGAUGAGAUCAAUCUUCACAAUCAAAACGUUAAAAAACAUUUUAGCCUAGUUGAAGAUUGGAAGGCAAAUGAGAGUGCACGUGAUCUACUUUGUAAGAAUGGAGAUUCAAGCGGAAGAAAAGUAUCUUAUCAAAUAACAAGACAAAAUUAUUACGUUGACUUACUAGCUGAUUAUGCUCAUGAACUUUUACCAUCUUCAGACGAAAUAGAAGAUUUUGCCAAACCUUCAGAAGAGGUACUAAAAAAGUUGAUUUAUGACAAUAAAGUAACUCUGAAGUGUGGACAGAACGACUUUAAUAAUAGAAAAUUUAAAUUUAGCAAUGAAGAAAAUGAAUCUAUUAAAAAUGACAUCAAGUUUUGGGACAUAAUACAAAAGAUCUCAUCAGUUUUUACAAUGGUAGUAGAUAUUACAGAUUUAAUUAAUAAUAAGAAGAUAAAGGGUUUAUAUCGUCUCCUUGAAAAAGCAAAUUUAGAAUUUGUGAAAAAUAGCACAAUUCAACGUGGUCAAGAUGGGUAUGGGAGUUCUAGUGAUUGUGAAGUUAGUUUUGAAAAUACCUCGUUUUACUCUAAAAAGAUAAUAGUAAAUACAGGAAUGAGAGCAAUCAAUUUAGCACUUUUUUUGUCAAUGUAUCAAGUGGGUAAGCAAAAUAUUGAUACAGAAUAUAUGUAUUACGAAAUAAGUGAUGCAAUAGAGUUUGUAAAAAAUAUUUCUGUAUCAAGAAAUACAGGAGCAAUAAUAUGCCUUGAUUUGAAUCACUGUUCUUCUAAGGGCCCUAAUUCCACAGUAAAUCUUGAGCAGAUUUAUAAACGACUUAAUCCAGAAAAAAAAGUGAUAUUGAUUUUGGAUUAUACUAGUGCUAAAUCAAAAAAAAUUAGUGAAGCUAUUAAAUUAUUUACUACACAUAAAAAUGUGUCAGCGUUGAUAUUAGUAAAUAGUGGAAUGAAAAAUGAGCAAAUUGGUGCUGAUAUGAAUCCUUACGGUACACUUAGAUUUAUUGCGAGAACUUCUGAUGACAUGAAUAAGUUAUAUUAUGCAGCCAUAAUAUGUUUACAGACAUUAGAAGAAAGAUUACCAAAACAAUCACAUAAUAUCAGAAAAGCAUAUAAAGAUGUCGGAGCUGUUAUAACCAAUGCAGCAAUAUAUACUAGAGAUGAAGGAUUUAAUUAAAAACCUAAUGCGUAUCACAAUGAUGAUAUUUUAGAAUAUAUUAAUACUCAAUCUUAUGAAUCGGCUUAUUAUUAUGAAUCAGCAUUACAGAAAAUUUCUCUUUUAUUUUCUCCACAACUAUCUAAUUUAAAGGCGAAUUUCAGUCCGCAAGAUGUUAUUAGUUGGGAUCUCGAAAAAAUAAUGUUUUUUAAUUCAGAUGACGUACUUGUAGUCAAAAAUUACUAUGAUGGAUGGGAUAAUUCUAUUGAUCAUAUGAAAUAUAUGUAUGAUUUUGAUUCUGAA